UACGUAGGGUGCGAGCGUUAAUCGGAAUUACUGGGCGUAAAGCGUGCGCAGGCUGUUCUGUAAGUCAGAUGUGAAAAUCCCCGAGCUCAACUUGGGAACUGCGUUUGAAAACUACAGGACUAGAAUAUGUCAGAGGGGGGUAGGAAAUUCCACGUGUAGCAGUGAAAAUGCGUAGAGAUGUGGGAGGAAUAACCAAAUGGCCGAAAGGGCAGCCCCCC
rnacentral:rRNA from 1 species